rnacentral:rRNA from 1 species
CCCUUAGAUGUUCUGGGCCGCACGCGCGCUACACUGAUGUAUUCAACGAGUCUAAAACCUGCUCUGAUAGGGGUGGGUAAUCUUUUGAAUGUGCAUCGUGAUUGGGAUAGAUGAUUGCAAUUUUUCAUCUUCAACGAGGAAUGCCUAGUAAACGCAAGUCAUCAGCUUGCAUUGAUUACGUCCCUGCCCUUUGUACACACCGCCCGUCGCUCCUACCGAUUGAAUGAUCCGAUGAAUAUCAUGGAUUGAGGAUUAUAGCAGGUUCGCCUGUCUUGAUCUUCGAGAAGUGAAGUAAAUCUUAUCAUUUAGAGGAAGGAGAAGUCGUAACAA